AAUGAACGCUGGCGGCAUGCCUAAUACAUGCAAGUCGAACGAGACCUUCGGGACUUGUGGCGCCUGGGUGUGUCACGCGUGGGAAGCUGCACUCAGGGUUGGCAUACCUCUACGACAGGGGUGCUAAUACCGGACAAUGUCUUCGGCCCAAUGAUUUAUUGCCUCUGGUGGGACCAGCGUUGAAUACGCUUGUUGGUACGGUAAUAGCUUACUACGGCGACGAUCCAUAGCUGGUUUGAGAGGAAGAUCAGCCACACUGGGACUGGGACACGGCCCGGACUCCUACGGAAGGCAGCAAUGGGUAAUAUUGGACAAUGGGCUAAAGCCUGAUCCAGCAAGGCCGCGAGAAUGAUGAAGGCCUUAGGGUUGAAAAGCUCUUUUACCCAGGAUGAUUAUGACAGUACCGGGAGAGUAAGCUCCGGCUAACUCCGUG
rnacentral:rRNA from 1 species